GAUGAACGCUAGCUACAGGCUUAACACAUGCAAGUCGAGGGGAAACGACAUCGAAAGCUUGCUUUUGAUGGGCGUCGACCGGCGCACGGGUGAGUAACGCGUAUCCAACCUGCCCAUCACUUGGGAAUAACCUUGCGAAAGUAAGACUAAUACCCAAUGACAUCCCACGAAGACAUCUGAAUGGGAUUAAAGAUUUAUCGGUGAUGGAUGGGGAUGCGUCUGAUUAGCUUGUUGGCGGGGUAACGGCCCACCAAGGCAACGAUCAGUAGGGGUUCUGAGAGGAAGGUCCCCAACAUUGGAACUGAGACACGGUCCAAACUCCUACGGGAGGCAGCAGUGAGGAAUAUUGGUCAAUGGGCGAGAGCCUGAACCAGCCAAGUAGCGUGCAGGAUGACGGCCCUAUGGGUUGUAAACUGCUUUUAUAAGGGAAUAAAGUGGGUCUCGUGAGACUUUUUGCAUGUACCUUAUGAAUAAGGACCGGCUAAUUCCGUG
rnacentral:rRNA from 1 species